rnacentral:rRNA from 4 species
GGGGGCGGUUCGCCGCUCCCGACGUCGCGAGAAGUCCAUUGAACCUUAUCAUUUAGAGGAAGGAGAAGUCGUAACAAGGUUUCCGUAGGUGAACCUGCGGAAGGAUCAUUG